UUAAAAUACCUCACUUUUUAAUUGACAACAAAAGUCUGUGCCUCUUUUUGUUACUGAUACUGAGGAAGUAGAAGAGUUCUUGUGUCCUAAAUCUACAAGAAGCUGUGCAAUUCAUCUUUGCCCCUCUGCGGGGUCUGAAGCUGAGCUCUGACCUAGCCUUCUCCUUUGCAGAGUUUUGCAAUAGAAGUAGAUGCGGAACAGCUAGACUCUGGAAGAGGAAAUUCUCCUGUCACUAGCGAGCUCUGAGAGACUCUGGGUCCUCCUACAAGCUCCUACUGGGUCCCUUGAAGUUGGUUUACGCUUUUAGACAUAUCUAGUUAUGUUGCAAAGAGGAAAUGGCUCUUUACCCUUAACAAUCCAUGCAGAUAAGGAUCGCUAGCUGCCAGAGAACCUGUUUUUCUGAGUAGUGAUGUAAAGCCAGCAGGACUGGUGACAAGGGCUUGCCUUUCCUAGGCAGGAUUCAUCCCAGCAGAGUGUGGUGCACAGCAGUCAACAGCUCAGACAUUGCUGCAGCAGAAUAACCACGAAUCUGGGGUACUUCCCAGCCUGAUGGCUUACUCAAAACCUAUGGGAGCAAGUGCUGAAGGAGGAAAAACUCAUCUGAAUAUCCUGGGCAUUACUAGAUAAGAAGGAGGGGACCCCAUUGCUCAUUUGCACUGUAUUCCUAAUAGAGUGUAUAAUCAGGAAACCUGAGGAUCUCCUAACCCAUCCACUGACAAAGAGCUCUCGGCCCCCUCAUUAAAGUGAUGGAAUGAGAGCUGCAAUCAAUUAUAGGAGAGCCAAAGGCGAUGAAAAUUAGUUCCACUGGGGAUUUGUCUUCAAAUUUUCUUUUGCCUGCAAAAAUCAGAUUACGACAUAAA
rnacentral:lncRNA from 1 species